AUAUAUAUAUAUAUAUAUAUUUACGUUUACGUUUCUUUCCUUUUUUAAUCUAACCUCCAAAAAUUUUCGAGACUGUCUAAUGGUUUCGUAAAAAACAAAAAUUCUUAACUUGGAAAGAAAAAGGAGAAAACUCGAUAAUCGAAAGUACAGGUCUAAUCAAUACUCAUUAGACUCGUUAUCAUCGACGAUAGAAAUGUUCUUCGCAGUAUUUGAGUUUUUAGAAUGAAUCAAGACUCAAGAAGGUAUACAAAUAUAGAUUAUGAAAAGGAUGAUGUAAUCGGGCAGAUAAAUAAACGUUUUAAAUAUUCACAGCAAGGAAUAUUAGACGAUAUAGCAUCUUCUAUUGAAUCUAUAGCCGAGUCAAUGCAGUCGAUCAAUGAAAAUCAUUCUGUAUUCUUGGAAGUUAACAAGGCAUUGACAUUAUUUUUAUUAGAGACAGAAAAGAAACAGAAGGAAAGAAACUUUAAAGAAAUAGAGUCACUUUCUUGUAAAGAACGAUUAGAAAAUACUCCGUCAGAAAAAAGCAUGUAAAAAGAAAUGUUUAUUCCUAUAUGCAUACUCAUGUAUAUACGUUCUGUGAUGAAAUACAUUCUCUUAGUGUCUAGAUAGUUUUAUUGUUCUAUUUUUAAGGUGAGGGAUAUUUUCAACUUGAUCAUUUUAAAACGAUAUAUUUUUGUAUAAUUAAAAUAUGAAUUUAUAUUUGUAAUCUUAAUAGUAAUAUAUUCUAUAUAUAGUCAAUAAGGAAAAAGUAAUACAAAUAAGCUUUAUACAAGUAUUUAUAUUUAUAUUCAUAUCACAAAGUUCUAUGAUAUGUGAAAAUGCAACAUUUUGAGCUGCAUAACAAUAGAUAAAUAGAUAAUACUUAACAUGUAAAUAGAUACUAAACGUAUAUCUUAUAGCUUAACAAAAUGAUAUGAGUAUGAGAGUCUCAUAAAUAUAAGAGUGGCCAUGUAAAAAGCUGUCUGUCGUUGGUCAUAUUGCCAAGUUUAUUUAAUCUUAUUCUCAUUAAUAUUCAGGAUCAUCUUUGUGUUUCCGCCUUGGAUCUGAGGCAUCUAAAGUCACUAUCACAGGCGGUACGUUUUCAGGUCUUUGAGUUUGCCCAAACCUGUAUCCAACCUUUUUAGAUAAAUCACCAAACUGUGAGAAUAUCGGAACUCGUUGACACCUUGAAUAAAUAUUAUUUGUGUUACAAAGUUGUCCGGUUGAUAAGAUGUAAUUAAGUUUUUCUUAAUUGUAUAUAAUAGUAAGAAAAAAAAAAAAAAAAAAAUAUUAAACGUAUAUGAAAAAUAAUAUAAAUGGCAUGAGAGCAAACUGAUUAUAUUAGUAUCAAAAAUAGCAGCAAGAUUAGAAUGUAUAUAUCCUUUGAUGCAUAAUUUUUAGAGAAAGAAGAUGAAUGCAGAGAAGAAAGCAAGAAAGCUGUGAAGAAAAUAAUUGACAUCAAGCGAAGAAAGAUAAAGAAGAUAGAAAAGAAAGGGAAAAGAAAAGGAAAAAAGAAAUUAAUAAAAUUUGUGUGAAAUAGGAACGCUUCGUGCUUCACAGCUUACAAGAUAAUGAUAGAGAGUAGAAUACGAUUAUAAAUAAUAUGCCUGAUGAAUAAAAGGCAUAUUAAGGGAUAUCAUUUACAAAUGAUUGCUUCGAAAUGGUUUUACUUUAUUGGCUAAAAAACUAUAAUCCUCGGAUUUGCUCGGUAAAAUUGCCCGAGGCGAGAGAAACGUUUGAAAGUUUAUCGCAUAAAGAACUUAAUCAAUUCCAAGCAUCUAUUCAAAAACAUUAAGACCGAUCGUUGGUAAUGAUUAUGAAGAGAACUGUUGGAACAGGUAAAAAUCUGAUGAUUUCACUGUUUCAAACAUAUCACAUACCAUUUCAUAAACUACUUUCCUAUAUCUUCUUGGAAGGAAUCAUUUGGUUUUAUUUAAAAGAAAAAAAAAAAAAAAAAAAAAAAAAAAAGAAAAAGAAAAGAAAAAGAAAAAAGGAAAGAAGUCUGCUUUAAAUAUCAGAUCUUCGACGUCAAUUAUAUAUACAUAUGACUCAAUUAGAAAACAGGAUCUUUCGAAAUCGAAAGAAACAUAUAAAAAGGUAGAUAUUAAAAUUGGUUGAAUAAAAUAUGCUGGAGACUUGGGGUUUUUUUAUCUCAAAGGGAAGAACAUGAAGUAUUAAUUCGAAUGAAGUUGUGAAGUAAGAAGAAGAUAUCGUAUACGUGUGAUGAAACGAAGCCGAUUUGUGCAAUCUUUUCAAGCUUUAUAUAUGAGACGAGAAUGGACGAAGAGAGAAGAGCAUCAAUAGAGUAAAAUUGGAAGAGGAAAUGGCACCAAUGAGAUCAGGACCAUUAGAGUGAACACAACCAUGCAAGAAGAAGAAGAAGAAGAAGAAGAAGAAGAUACGUUUGGUACGAACCGAACGAGUGGAGCAAGAUAAAAUACAGGAUGAAUCAAAAGUUUCUGUAUAGAAAAAUUUUAUAUAUCAAUUACACUUUUUUUUUAA